UACGUAGGGUGCAAGCGUUAAUCGGAAUUACUGGGCGUAAAGCGUGCGCAGGCGGUUUUGCAAGUCAGAUGUUAAAUCCCCGGGCUCAACCUGGGAACUGCAUUUGUGACUGCAUGGCUAGAGUACGGUAGAGGGGGGUGGAAUUCCGCGUGUAGCAGUGAAAUGCGUAGAUAUGCGGAGGAACACCGAUGGCGAAGGCGAUCCCCUGGACCUGUACUGACGCUGAUGCACGAAAGCGUGGGGAGCAAACAGG
rnacentral:rRNA from 1 species